rnacentral:rRNA from 1 species
AAGCGAAAUGAGCGACCUGUUCGGGGACGCGUUUUGAGUUGGGGUCCUGCUCAGAUUGAACGCUGGCGGCAGGCCUAACACAUGCAAGUCGAACGGUAACAGGAAGAAGCUUGCUGCUUUGCUGACGAGUGGCGGACGGGUGAGUAAUGUCUGGGAAACUGCCUGAUGGAGGGGGAUAACUACUGGAAACGGUAGCUAAUACCGCAUAACGUCGCAAGACCAAAGAGGGGGACCUUCGGGCCUCUUGCCAUCGGAUGUGCCCAGAUGGGAUUAGCUUGUUGGUGGGGUAACGGCUCACCUAGGCGACGAUCCCUAGCUGGUCUGAGAGGAUGACCAGCCACACUGGAACUGAGACACGGUCCAGACUCCUACGGGAGGCAGCAGUGGGGAAUAUUGCACAAUGGGCGCAAGCCUGAUGCAGCCAUGCCGCGUGUAUGAAGAAGGCCUUCGGGUUGUAAAGUACUUUCAGCGGGGAGGAAGGGAGUAAAGUUAAUACCUUUGCUCAUUGACGUUACCCGCAGAAGAAGCACCGGCUAACUCCGUGCCAGCAGCCGCGGUAAUACGGAGGGUGCAAGCGUUAAUCGGAAUUACUGGGCGUAAAGCGCACGCAGGCGGUUUGUUAAGUCAGAUGUGAAAUCCCCGGGCUCAACCUGGGAACUGCAUCUGAUACUGGCAAGCUUGAGUCUCGUAGAGGGGGGUAGAAUUCCAGGUGUAGCGGUGAAAUGCGUAGAGAUCUGGAGGAAUACCGGUGGCGAAGGCGGCCCCCUGGACGAAGACUGACGCUCAGUCGAAAGAUUCUC